GAUGAACGCUGGCGGCGUGCCUAAUACAUGCAAGUCGAGCGAACAGACGAGGAGCUUGCUCCUCUUACGUUAUCGGUUUACGGGUGAGUAACACUUGGAUAACCUACCUAUAAGACUGGGAUAACUUCGGGAAACCGGAGCUAAUACCGGAUAAUAUAUUGAACCGCAUGGUUCAAUAGUGAAAGACGGUUUUGCUGUCACUUAUAGAUGGAUCCGCACCGCAUUAGCUAGUUGGUAAGGUAACGGCUUACCAAGGCGACGAUGCGUAGCCGACCUUAUAGGGUGAUCGACCACACUAGAACUGAGACACGGUCCAGACUCCUAAGGGAGGGAGCAGUAGGGAAUCUUGCGCAAUGGGCGAAAGACUGACGGAGCAACGACGCGUGAGUGAUGAAGGUAUUCGGAUAGUAAAACUCUGUUAUUAGGGAAGAACAAAUGUGUAAGUAAAUAUGCACGUCUUGACGGUACCUAAUCAGAAAGCCACGGCUAACUACGUG
rnacentral:rRNA from 1 species